CACCAUGUGGAACUUACUGUCCUCCCAGGACGAGUUUGAUGGUUUUCUUCCCAUCAGAAGCAUGAGGCCAUGCUCUGGGGUCAGGAUGUCAGUGACUUACAGAUGACACGGAGCACUGAAGCCUGCGUGUGAAUCAGGUCUUGGAAGAGGCUGUGCUCCGUUUGCCGCACAGACACUUUCACUCUCUCAGAAGGGAGGUCCUCCUGCACGUAGCCAUGCAGUUGGUGUUUUCCAGGUGGCUGCUGUGCACCGGAUGUGUGCCAGUGCUGCAAAACACGUGUCCUUGUUGUGCUUCCUCUAGAGAUGCAUCUGCUGAUGUAAGCGAAGCUGCUAACAUGUCCCAGCAUGCACAAGAUAACAGAGGCUUGAUAAACCCAAAAGGCUCCUUGUUAAACAAGUACCUGGAGCUGAGCUGAUGCUAGUGGUUUCCAUUGUGCUGGGACCAGGAGGAAAUGAACUGUGUCAGCAUGUUUGUGAGUGACUAACUACUGUUUCCCAUGGAACAAAAGAUCUGAGAGUUUACAGAUGCGUUUCCAGGUGUGAUUUAGUCAAAGCAAGCAAGCAGAGUGUUUCUCGAUAAAAAGACAACAGAUCUCUUCCAAAG